rnacentral:rRNA from 1 species
UACGUAGGGGGCAAGCGUUGUUCGGAAUUACUGGGCGUAAAGGGCGCGUAGGCGGUACGACAAGUCUGGAGUGAAAGCCCGGGGCUCAACCCCGGAAUGUCUUUGGAAACUGUCGAACUUGAGUGCGGAAGAGGCAUCUGGAAUUCCCAGUGUAGCGGUGAAAUGCGUAGAUAUUGGGAAGAACACCUGAGGCGAAGGCGGGAUGCGGGGCCGACACUGACGCUGAGGCGCGAAAGCCAGGGGAGCGAACGGG